rnacentral:rRNA from 1 species
GAAGGAAAGUUGAAAAGCACUUUGAAAAGAGAGUGCAAGAGAACGUGAAACCGUUAUAGUGGAAACGGAUAGAGGCGACGUAUCCAGUGCGUAUUCAGCCGUUGUUCGGGGCAAUUUGGAUGUUUGAGGUUCUGUAAAGUCCUCGAUGUUCAUUGUUGUUUCGAGUGGUGGUGCAUUUGCGUACAGAGUGCGCCGAAUCAGUCGAAUUCGCUGUUUGAGAUUUGCAAAGAGGACCAUUUAUUUGGAAACCUGGGCAAUUGGAUGGCAGAUGAGUUUGACUGUAAGUGGGUUGGUAUUUCGUGGUGGUGGUUGUGGAUUAGGGUUAUUUUGUACGAUGCAUGCGUUUUGCACUUACGAUUCUGACCCACAACUAUUAUCUCCCAAUUCCGGAUUCGGUGUUUAGUCGCUCAUCUAUCUGACCCGUCUUGAAACACGGACCAAGGAGUUUAAGGUGUACGCAAGUCAUUGGCGGUUGAAAGUCAAAGGCGUAAUGAAAGUGGGACACUUGGUGUCUGUGAUGUGAGUUGGUUUUGUUUCGAUGAGGCCGACGCAACAUCGACCCAUGACUAGGACUUGUUCUGUUGUGGAGUCUGAGCGUACGCUUUGAGACCCGAAAGA